rnacentral:pre_miRNA from 1 species
UACUUUUGUCCCAAGUCAAACCUGUCUAACUUUGACCAAGUUUAUAAAAAAUGCAUCUACAUCUGCCAUGCAAUAUGUCUUGAUAGUGCAUUUAUUUGGAAUUGUAGAUGUUAAUAUAUUUUUCUAUAAACUUGGUCAGAAUUAGACAGGUUUGACUUAGGACAAAACUAA